rnacentral:rRNA from 1 species
UACAGAGGUCCCAAGCGUUGUUCGGAUUCACUGGGCGUAAAGGGUGCGUAGGCGGUCGGGUAAGUCUGAUGUGAAAUCUCACAGCUUAACUGUGAAACUGCAUUGGAUACUAUCCGGCUAGGGGAAUGGAGGGGAGACUGGAAUACUUGGUGUAGCAGUGAAAUGCGUAGAUAUCAAGUGGAACACCAGUGGCGAAGGCGAGUCUCUGGACAUUUCCUGACGCUGAGGCACGAAAGCCAGGGGAGCAAACGGG